GUGCUCCUAGACCUAUUUAAGAGCUGGCUACGGGGGGAAGGGUCUCUUCUGGAGAUUGCCUCUGCUGGUGUUUUGUGAUGAGCCCAAGGUAGGGGUGGUAAGCAGACAAAAGGCACAGCUCCUCAGGUGUCAGGGCUGAAUUCCUGUGUGUGUGCUCACACACACUGCCAUCAUCAGUACUACAGCAGUUCACGCAGGGAUACCUUGAAGGUUUUGGAGAAAUUCAAUAUAUUUUGGAGACUAAAUCUCUUCUAAUGCAUAUGUGAACUUUUCUGGAUGGAAGAGAAGUAAUUUUGUAUAACCACAGAGGAGAAACAACAGAUUGCUCACUGAAACUGCGUUUCAGGCUGUUGGGAACAUAACAGAGGUAGGGUGUUAUGUUAAUUGUGUUAAUUAUGUUAAUGAUGAUUUCCACAGGCAGCCCAUUCAGGAAACUUUAGUGGUGCCGGUGCUGUGGUAUGCAAUGAGAUACUAGGAUGCUGCUGGACUGCAGCCCUGCACGGCAUCUUUACACAAAGGUCUGUGAUAAAACCUGGUUUGGUGUAGAAAAAUUCAUUCUGUCUUGGUCAACAAAAACCACAUUGCUUCUUAUCUUUCUUAUUAUCAUGCUCCAAGUGCACCUGGAGCAGAAAGAUCUGUCCACAAAGUGGGAGUUUAUAAAAACAGGAGGUUGCAGCUCAGGCUGCUGACAAGAAGUGUGAUUAGCCACGUGAGGGGGUCAGCACUUAAUAACAUGAAGCACCAACUGCUUUAGCUGAGGAUUUUGUUUGUGCUGUGUAAAUCCUGUUCAGAAGUCAGGCGUCUAGGAAAGACAAACCUGCAGGAGUGCUUGUAAGAUGGGGAAAAGGAGAGGUUUUGCAGCAGUUGGCCAGUUCUGGUGGAAUCAGCCCAGAGCACGAGCUGUUCAGGGUGUGAGUUGCAACCACAGUGCAUCUCAUGGUCUCUCUGCACUCCUCAGUCUCUUCCUCAGGUUCAGUUUUCAGAGGCAGCAUUUACUUUCAGGUGAUUGACAGCUCCCAUUACUAUCCAUUACAGUAGCUAGCACUUCUGGGGUACUUCUAAGUAAUGCUUUUCUUUGCAAAGUAAUGCUCAUGGGGGAAAUUGAUUUCUAGACCAGGCUUGCUGUGUGGACACUGAUGUUGCAAUGGUGUCUUCAGCUAGAUGGACUAAGACUCCCCAGACCUGUUCUGAUGAAUACUUGCAAUACAAUUGGCAUGUGGACCUAUGUCAUGCUACGGUGUCUGCACAUCAGUUAUGUUAUCUUAAACUACAUAGGCAUCACAUCUUACAUAUUAAACACAACUAUGAACAAAAGGCAGUCCUAUGUCUUUCAUAGGCUGGAACAAUUUCUACUGACAAUUUAGAAUGAUGCAUGGUUUGCUCAACUCCUUGAUCUUUCCCCAUGAACUGCUCAAGGAAAUCCCUAGUAGUGCACUAGAUCCUUCACACCAGGUGUUAGGCAAUAUAUCUAAACAUCUAGACAGCAUCUGUUCAUUUUCACAGUGUGGUGAUAUCUGUAAUCACUUCAGUUAAUACUGGUGCUCUUGUGUAUUUAAUGAUGCUUUUCCUUUAGAAAAAGAAAUGCUUUCUGCACACCUGCAGAAAGCUUUCUGCAUUUACACAACCUUAAGAUUGUGAAGUGUUAGAAAGUUGACAUAAAAUAGCAAAUUCCUCUCUUCCCACCUACCUCACCCAAGUAAUAAAACAGUGAAGAAAGGUGUAAGGAUUUAUUUUAUUUGUUUAUCCUUGUUUGCUUGUUUAACAUGAAUGGUAUUUUCAUAAAAUAAAAAUAAAAAAACAGCCUUCAUUAAAUAUUUGAAAAUAAAUUCUUCUUUCAUUCUACAUAUAUGUAUAUGGGCAUUUUCAAACAAAUAGCUAAUCCGGAACAAUAGUUGCUGGGCGACAGUUCACAACAGAUCUCUCAAAAUAACAGUUUACAACAGGGGAAUGUUUAAAAAAAAAAAAAAAAAAAAACCACAACAAACUAAGAAACAUGAGGACUGAUGCUUCUAAACUAGUUACACACACGGAAAAACGUUCCUGAAAUAAACUCCUUGAUCUUAAUACACUCUUAAUACACUGAUCUGCAAAGUAUCCACAAACAACAGUUCCACACUUAGUUGUAGAAAUAGUUGAUAACUUAUAAAGGAGAGUGAAUAUCCAACAUCACAUGGUUGAAGAUCAAACACAUGAAGUUUCCACUCAUUCAUUUAUACUGAAAAAAAAGUAUUUUACCCUCUCGAUUUCAUUUUUUAAUUUUGAGUUGAUGUCAAGGACAUGAACUAUGGAAAAAAAAACUGAAAAAGCAUAGCAUCUCAACUUUUAAUAUUUAAAACUAGUGAAGAUGUACAAAGUCAAGAUAUGAGGCUUGAAUGUAUUGGCAUCAAUUCACUGUCUACUGUUUGCUAGAUGUGUUGCUGUAACUGCUUGGAUGUACACAUGAAACAUGACUGUUGUGUGGUCACACUUUACACAUCCUGAAGGAAUUAUACACAAGGUAAGUUGUUCAAUCAGAUCUGUUCUACUGGGCACUUAGGGCAUUCACAUGUGGUCAGCUACAACAGCUACACAAAAGUACUAACUCACAUUUUCAUGGUACAACCUGCAUAAGCUUGGCAUCCAGAUAACCUCUGGCCUUUCUAGUGACUGUGAUUGUAUGUCUUUUUUCCCCAUGAUUAAUCAUUUAAACUUUAUUUAAAAAUAAAAAAGAA